GCUUACGGCCAUACCACCCUGAACACGCCCGAUCUCCUCCGAUCUCGGAAGCCAAGCAGGGUAGGGCGUUGUUAGUACUUGGAUGGGAGACCGCCUGGGAAUACCAGGUGCUGUAAGCU
rnacentral:rRNA from 1 species